GGCUUUCUUUGAGGAAUAGGGAGGGAGGGUCUGGACCAUUUAGAGGUCUCUGUUUCCAACAUAUACAUCCUUUUUUUUUUUUUAAUGUAUUCUUUUUUUAAUUGAAUAAAAAUUCUUUAAAGUCUGUAGCUGCUUUUUACGAUUUCCAAAAGUUCCACACACAUAAUUUCGCGUAAUCCCAUAAAAACUUUUCCCCCCUUACUCCUAUAUUACCCUUCCCCCUUCCUUCUCCCCACUGGUAGUCACUAGUUUGUUCUCUAAAUCUGUGAGGCUGCUUCUUUUUUGCUUUAUUCACAAGUUUCCGACAUAUACAUUCUUCAAAGGACAGAGCUGGGUUGUUUGGGUGGAGGAAAGCUCUGAAGAUUAAAGAGGAGCAGACUUGGAGUCUACACAGGCAGGAGGAUGGAGGGGAGGUGCGGACCUGAACCUGGCUCUCUUCCAGUGUCUCUGGCAGUGGUGACUACAAGCACACCUGAGGAAUGAACACUAAGCCAUGGCUUUGGGAGCAUACAAGAGUUCUUGGGGACUUGGUUUAGAACAGAACGAUCAGAUGCUUUGAGCAACUGGGCAAGAUACAUCUGACUUGGAAAAAUGAGCUACAACUUCGAUGGACCGAAGAUAGUUCCCCAGGUUUUCUAGAUUGGCUGAGCAAACUGAAGCUCAAAGAAGAUGAAAAAUACAAGUUAACAGCAGAGCCAGGACCACAAUCCAGACCUCCUCUCUUCCCAGUCAGUAGUCUUCACCUCAGCAUUUCGCAAGUGUUCUCUGUACAGUAAUAAUAGAUACUCCAUGAAUAAAAGUUUCCAUCAAUAAACAACCUUGCAAAACACUG